CUUUUUUUUGAGGCCCAGCAGCGGCCCAUAGUCAGCACUAGAAUUAGAAUAAUCCAAUGGCGGGAACUCAAAGACGCUGAGAAAUUCAUCACAGGCUCUCGUAGCCGCCAAGAAAAAGCCACCAAUAUCGGCAUUCCAUUGGCCAAUUGAAUUGUUCAUGGCGCCGGACGGAGUACCAGGUAGCGGCUCCUUCGUCAGUGUUGCCAUUUUUCCGCAUCUGGAAACUCAUCUUCUAUGCGGAGAGCCAAGACAGAGGCAGAGACAAGCGAAUAGAGGGCGAACCAGUCUCUGAACCGAUCGAUGAGGGAGAUGAGAGAUGUUUGAAGGAACGAUCGUUUUAUCGGCUCAGAAGCUCGAAGUCUGUAUGAGGUUGCAGGUGUAGAAAUAAAAGGUUAAACCUUGUUGAUGCUGGAAGAAUUUUCUGGAGCUUUAAGCAUGGAUAUCUCCCUCUCUAACCCCAUCUCCACACUGCUAUUAUUCUAAAUCACGGUGUACUACCUCUAUUUUCCUUUGUUAUCUUCUUGAGCCUGAAAUUUGUGUUCCUUGCAUGCCUUUCUUUUUAAUAUCACAAAAACCUUAAAAAACCCAAGCCAGUUGCAUGAGCCUGCCACUGUGUAUAAGGUUUUCAUGGACCUACAUAAAAAAGAACAAGUAUACGAUCAUCUAUCCAGGUCUCGAAAGACUAAAAUGUAACCAAUUUGAACUAGAUUAUAUGUAUACUUCGCUUGUGACCUUAGAAUCUGAGUGCGAAGAAUAUGGCAUUACUCUGAUUCCACCAAUUGAUUUCAUAUGUGAAGAGGCUCCAAAGUCCUAUGAAAUCCAGACCAGCCGCGCUUAUUUGUAUGGUAUAUCGAAAGAAUUCGCAAAUGGAUAUGUAUCUCCAAAUCCGUCGACCACAAAAAUGCAGUAAAUGGAUGGGGAAAGGUGAAAGAAUAGCUGUUCCAUCCUGCACCAUUUGGGUCAAACCCCAGAAGUCUAUUCUGCAUUUAAUGAGAAAAGAAAUGGGACUACGGUUGGUGCAAUCAAGGCGACUCGAACUCUUUGAGAUGCCGACAACAACCUGUUUUACAUCCCAGUAUGUUAUGAGUAAGGUGUGAAACCGACCAUUUGAGAGGUGGGUGACAAAUUGGACCAUUGAUGCAAAAAAAUUUGAUGAGAAGUAAUGAAGCCCUGCAAGAAAAUCCUCUUUGUGAUAUCUGUUCACAAUCAGCAAUUACUGAUAGAAAUUGAAAUUCACGUUAUGUAUUUAAUAUUUACUAUCUCUGUCAAUAUAACUCCUCAACUGAUCCUA